rnacentral:rRNA from 1 species
GACGAACGCUGGCGGCGUGCUUAACACAUGCAAGUCGAACGGUAAGGCCCUUCGGGAUACACGAGUGGCGAACGGGUGAGUAACACGUGGGUGAUCUGCCCUGCACUUCGGGAUAAGCCUGGGAAACUGGGUCUAAUACCGGAUAGGACCACUGCCUGCAUGGGUGGUGGUGGAAAGCUUUUGCGGUGUGGGAUGGGCCCGCGGCCUAUCAGCUUGGUGGUGGGGUGAUGGCCUACCAAGGCGACGACGGGUAGCCGGCCUGAGAGGGUGACCGGCCACACUGGGACUGAGAUACGGCCCAGACUCCUACGGGAGGCAGCAGUGGGGAAUAUUGCACAAUGGGCGCAAGCCUGAUGCAGCGACGCCGCGUGAGGGAUGACGGCCUUCGGGUUGUAAACCUCUUUCAGCACCGACGAAGCGCAAGUGACGGUAGGUGCAGAAGAAGGACCGGCCAACUACGUGCCAGCCGCCGCAGUAA